AGUGUGUGUGUGUGUGUGUGUGUGUGUGUGUGUGCAUGUGUGUAUGUCUGACAGACACACACACACACACUCACAGACACACUGA